GGGUCUGUAGCUCAGUUGGUUAGAGCACGUCGCUCAUAACGAUGUGGUCGUUGGUUCAAGUCCAACCAGACCCACCA
rnacentral:tRNA from 1 species